GAAGUCCUGUACGGCAAAGCCUGACCAGCAGCCGGGAGCGAGUCUUGCGUGGUGUACGGGUAACCGGCACUGCGAGGCGUAGACAGCGAGUUCGGAAGCCACGCGACUGAGCCUCGAAAGUACCGUCGUCGGAGCCUUCGUCGUUGAAUGAGCGGGGGCAGCACGGGCGUUCCGCCAGUGGUCGGGAACGCUCGUCCGGCCGGGGUCGCGCGAGCG
rfam:Microbial mat metagenome hsmat07_BHWS9058_x1, whole genome shotgun sequence.